GUCCACUGCCAAGCCACCCUGAACAUGCCUGAUCUCGUCUGAUCUCAGAAGCUAAGCAGGGUCGGGCCCCGUUAGUACUUGGAUGGGAGACUACCUAGAAAGACAGGGUACUAUAGGCG
rnacentral:rRNA from 1 species